rnacentral:rRNA from 1 species
CGAGCGGACAGAAGGGAGCUUGCUCCCGGAUGUUAGCGGCGGACGGGUGAGUAACACGUGGGUAACCUGCCUGUAAGACUGGGAUAACUCCGGGAAACCGGAGCUAAUACCGGAUAGUUCCUUGAACCGCAUGGUUCAAGGAUGAAAGACGGUUUCGGCUGUCACUUACAGAUGGACCCGCGGCGCAUUAGCUAGUUGGUGGGGUAAUGGCUCACCAAGGCAACGAUGCGUAGCCGACCUGAGAGGGUGAUCGGCCACACUGGGACUGAGACACGGCCCAGACUCCUACGGGAGGCAGCAGUAGGGAAUCUUCCGCAAUGGACGAAAGUCUGACGGAGCAACGCCGCGUGAGUGAUGAAGGUUUUCGGAUCGUAAAGCUCUGUUGUUAGGGAAGAACAAGUGCGAGAGUAACUGCUCGCACCUUGACGGUACCUAACCAGAAAGCCACGGCUAACUACGUGCCAGCAGCCGCGGUAAUACGUAGGUGGCAAGCGUUGUCCGGAAUUAUUGGGCGUAAAGGGCUCGCAGGCGGUUUCUUAAGUCUGAUGUGAAAGCCCCCGGCUCAACCGGGGAGGGUCAUUGGAAACUGGGAAACUUGAGUGCAGAAGAGGAGAGUGGAAUUCCACGUGUAGCGGUGAAAUG